UCUUGAAUGCUCAUUCCUCAGACAAUGGUAAUAUGUUCUGCGUCUGUGGAAUCUUUGAGAGGUGGGGCCUUGCUGGAAGGCACACAUUGCUGGGGAUAGCCCUUGAAAGCAAUAGUCAGUCCCUUGUUCUCCCAUGCUGUCUGCUUCCUGGCCUGCUGCCCUGUGGACAACCUCUCCCACGUGCCCUGGUCUCCAUGGCUUCCCUGCCAUGAUGAACUGAAACUCUCUGAAGCUAUAACCCAAAUGAACCUGCCCUCCUUUACGUUGUCAGACAGGUGGCUUGGAAAGCCAGCAGCAAGAUGCCAGGGGGAAACACAGUUACAUAUAACAUGAAUGGAGCUGAGUCUUGGAACACCAUAAAAUGGGUGUGAGAAGAUGCAGGACAAGAGUGACUUAAAGAAGAGAUUCUUUGCCUUGUAGUUCACCACGGUAUGGAUGUCAAGGCCGUAGGAUCAUGAAGCAGUUGGUUAUGAACAUAAUAAAAAUAUGAAAAAAAAACUCCAUUAAUAUAAAAUGUCACCCAUUAAUGUGGAUUCGUUAGAAGAAAGGGGAUGGAGAAAGGCGAACACCUAACAUCCCAAAAUAUUUCUCUUCCCCACAAGGUUUAACAUCCCAUUCCUGUUGCAUGCAGCCAGCAUGUCAGCCUUUGCCAAGGAAGUUCACAAGUCAGCCACCUGCAUUCAUCAUCCUUCUCCUGAGCCAAUCCUGCAUCAUCUUCCAAUCAUAGGAUGGCCCUGGUGGCUUUGAGUCUGUCUUUUUUGUUUUUGUUUUUAUUUUUUUUUUUUCCCCAGUGUUUGGGUCAAACCACACUGGAAUCAAACCAGACACCUACUCACCUAAAGCAGAGACAGCCAUGUUGUUUUCUCAUCAAAUUGUAGUGGGUAGCCAUUCCAGCUUUGAUCUGGAAGUUCCAACCCCCAAUGAGGCUUCAGUAACUGUCACGC